GCAUCGGUGGUUCAGUGGUAGAAUGCUCGCCUGCCACGUGCCACGCGGGCGGCCCGGGUUCGAUUCCCGGCCGAUGCA
rfam:Oryctes borbonicus contig22694, whole genome shotgun sequence.